rnacentral:rRNA from 1 species
CAUACGCAAGUAGUAAGACCCCUUGAAGACGACGAGGUAGAUAGGGCAGAGGUGGAAGCGUGGUAACACGUGCAGCUGACUGUCACUAAUAGGUCGAGGGCUUAACCAA